rfam:Halorientalis sp. IM1011, complete genome.
GGGCCCUUAGCUUAGUCUGGUUAGAGCACCCGGCUCAUACCAAUCACUGACAGCGGUCAGGGAUUGUGGGUAACCGGGCGGUCGGUGGUUCAAAUCCGCCAGGGCCCA